AGUGGGAUAGCUGGGUCAUAUGGUGGUUCCAUUCAAAGUUUACUGAGGAAUCUUCAUACUGCUUUCCAGAGUGGCUGCACCAAUUUGCCAUCCCAAUAGCAAU
rnacentral:pre_miRNA from 1 species